rnacentral:rRNA from 1 species
UACGUAGGGUGCGAGCGUUAAUCGGAAUUACUGGGCGUAAAGCGUGCGCAGGCGGUUAUGUAAGACAGUUGUGAAAUCCCCGGGCUCAACCCUGGGAACUGCAUCUGUGACUGCAUAGCUAGAGUACGGUAGAGGGGAUGGAAUUCCGCGUGUAGCAGUGAAAUGCGUAGAUAUGCGGAGGAACACCGAUGGCGAAGGCAAUCCCCUGGACCUGUACUGACGCUCAUGCACGAAAGCGUGGGGAGCAAACAGG